UACGGGGGGGGCAAGCGUUGUUCGGAAUUACUGGGCGUAAAGGGCUCGUAGGUGGCCAACUAAGUCAGACGUGAAAUCCCUCGGCUUAACCGGGGAACUGCGUCUGAUACUGGAUGGCUUGAGUUCGGGAGAGGGAUGCGGAAUUCCAGGUGUAGCGGUGAAAUGCGUAGAGACUCGGAAGAACACCAGUGGCGAAGGCGGCUACCUGGACGGGUACUGACGCUGCAGCGCGAAAGCUAGGGGAGCAAACAGG
rnacentral:rRNA from 1 species